AACGAACGCUGGCGGCAGGCUUAACACAUGCAAGUCGAACGCAUGCCUUCGGGCAUGAGUGGCAGACGGGUGAGUAACGCGUGGGAACCUACCCCUUGGUACGGGAUAGCUCCGGGAAACUGGAGAUAAUACCGUAUGUGUCCUGAGGGACAAAGAUUCAUCGCCAAGGGAUGGGCCCGCGUCGGAUUAGCUAGUUGGUGGGGUAACGGCCUACCAAGGCGACGAUCCGUAGCUGGUCUAAGAGGAUGAUCAGCCACAUUGGGACUGAGACACGGCCCAAACUCCUACGGGAGGCAGCAGUGGGGAAUAUUGGACAAUGGGCGCAAGCCUGAUCCAACCAUGCCGCGUGAGUGAUGAAGGCCCUAGGGUUGUAAAGCUCUUUCACCGGUGACGAUAAUGACGGUAACCGGAGAAGAAGCCCCGGCUAACUUCGUG
rnacentral:rRNA from 1 species